GUCCCCGAAGUUCUAGACUGGAGCCCGGGAGCGCGCUCCCCACGCCUCCGAAGUAGUGGGGGUUUACAGCCCGUCCGGGUGGUGAGGCAAUAGUGCACGGUUCUUUUUAUUUUUUAAUUUGCCAAGGGUCUCCUUUCCUCGAUCUGCUCUCACGGCUACCACUAGCAAGCUGCCUUUGCGCUUGCCCUGCAGGUCCCCAGCGCGCGCGCAGGCCCCCAGUUUCUCUUGGGGGCACGCGCCGGUUGGGGGAGGAGGGGCAGUGCGAGCUGUCCGCGCACUGCCUCACGGGAGUUGUAGUUCUUUCCUUUGUCUGAGCUCAGCGGAGACCGCCGCCGAGACUACGACUCCCAGCAGCUCCGCGUUCCCCCUUUCCUCAAAAGAAAAAGAUCUACCUCGAGCUAUCCAGGAAAAACUUGUGAGAAAUUUUGUUAGGAUGUUUCAGCUGCAAGUAACAACAAACCUUAACUCAAUUGGUUUCAACCAUAGAGGAAUGCACUACUUCCCAUAACAAGAAGUUCUACAUUGGGACCACACCACUCCAGGAUUGAUUCAUUCAAUGGCUCAUAAAUCUGCCAUCCUCAGGACCCAGUGAUGUCCAAGGACUGAAAAGGAUUGUGUGUCUCUACUUAUUAGCUUGAGAAACCUUGCCAGAGGUCCUUGGACGCUUUCUACCUAUUUGCCCAAAUUAGAUAUAUCCCUGGCAAGGUGAAUGAGUGCCUUAGAUCAGUCCCAAUUCCCUUCUGUAGGCCUGAAGCUAGAGAGACUUAGCAGGAAGAUGGAACUUACCCAAAAGUAGAGCUCUGCCAGCAUGGGAAAAAGGAAAAGUGCCUGCAACAGGAAAAACAACAAAGAGAGAGAGGUGGAGAGGAACACGCCAAAGAAAGAGAGAGAGCCCACACUAUCCUAAGCUCCUGAAUGCACUGUGACAUCCAGGUGUCCUGGGGAAGACAUAAACACAUCAUACAGCACCCACAGGAACUUCAAGAGACUGGAGUUAAUAAAGAGAUUAAAGAGAUUAA
rnacentral:lncRNA from 1 species